rnacentral:rRNA from 1 species
CUACUCCUACGGGGGGCAGCAGUGAGGAAUAUUGGUCAAUGGGCGGGAGCCUGAACCAGCCAAGCCGCGUGAAGGAAGAAGGCGCCAAGCGUCGUAAACUUCUUUUGUCGGGGAACAAAGGGCGCCACGUGUGGCGUUGUGAGUGUACCCGAAGAAAAAGCAUCGGCUAACUACGUGCCAGCAGCCGCGGUAAUACGUAGGUGGCAAGCGUUAUCCGGAAUGACUAGGCGUAAAGGGGGCGUAGGAGGUUUAGUAAGUUGGCGGUGUAAUUCCGGGGCUCAACCUCGGCGGUACCUCCAAAACUA